rnacentral:rRNA from 1 species
AUGGCGGCUCCGGCGGGGCCCACGAGGCUGGCCUACUUCGAUGACAUGUGGGCCCUCCGCGCCCCCGCCACCGUCCUCUCCCUCCACCAGGAGGAGGGCGGCCGGCGAGCGGUGGUGCUGGACGCCACCGUCUUCCACCCGCAGGGCGGCGGCCAGCCGGCCGACACCGGGGCAAUCGUCUCCGCCGCCGGCACCGGCGCCAGGUUCCUCGUCGAGGACGUGCGCGUCAAGGAUGGGGUGGUCUUCCACUAUGGCAGAUUCGAGGAUGCUGCUGCUGGAGAGGAGCUGAGCCAAGGGCAGAGUGUCAGCUUGGAAAUCGACGCGGAACGGCGCAAGCUCAACUCCAGGCUUCACUCUGCAGGUCAUUUGCUGGACAGUUGUAUGACCAACCUUGGCCUUCAUCUGGAACCUGGGAAAGGCUAUCAUUUUCCUGAUGGGCCUUCCGUUGAGUAUAAGGGAGUUGUUCCAGCAGAUCAGUUACAGGAUAAGAAAAUCCAGCUGGAAAAGGAGGCGAACGAACUGAUUUCGAAAGGAAGCAAGGUUUUGGUCUCUGUUUUUCCCUAUGAGGAGGCGGCUAAGUUGUGUGGAGGUGCUCUGCCUAGUUACAUUCCACAAGAUAGCACUCCCCGCAUUGUGAAAUUUGGUAACUAUCCUGGUUGUCCUUGUGGAGGCACUCAUGUAGCCGAUAUUGCAGACAUCGGCAACCUAAAGGUCACAAAUAUACGGGUCAAGAAAGGCGUGACUAAGGUCUCCUACAGCAUCAGCCCAUAA